rnacentral:tRNA from 1 species
GCCCGGGUGGCACAAUUGGCUAGCGCGUGAGACUUUUAAUCUCAAGGUUGAGGGUUCGAGCCCCUCCUCGGGCG